UACGGAGGGUGCAAGCGUUGCUCGGAAUUAUUGGGCGUAAAGGGUAGGUAGGUGGUCUCAUUUGUCUGGGGUGAAAGCCUUGGGCUUAACUCAAGAAGUGCCCCAGAAACGGUGAGACUAGAGUCCUAGAGAGGGUCGUGGAAUUCCCGGUGUAGCGGUGAAAUGCGUAGAGAUCGGGAGGAACACCAGAGGCGAAGGCGGCGACCUGGAUAGGUACUGACACUCAACUACGAAAGCGUGGGGAGCAAACAGG
rnacentral:rRNA from 1 species